UACUUAAACAAAUUUACUAAUAAAUCCACCUUCCCCCGGUUUUUAAGCCUAAGAUUCGUAUUUUUACUAAAAAUUGUAGCUCACCUCUGCCUCCCCAUUAACUGCACCUUGACCUGAAGUAUAAAAAAUUAUUUUCUUGAAAACAUUCUUUUAAAGUAAUCUGACAACGGCGGUAUACAAGCUGAAUAAAAGGAGGUAAGAUAAAAUGAGGAUUAUCAAUUAUAGGGCAAGCUCCUCUAUUAGGAUAAGAUGCCGCCAAAAUCUUUGGGUUUGAAGAACAUCUUUUAC
rnacentral:rRNA from 1 species